UUGGACUCCUGAGGACACCACGAGCACGUUGAUACCAUUUUCAGGUAACCUUUCCUUCGGAAACCCUAGUUUUUAAACUCCCCGUGAAGGUGCACUGUUCAUGCACACGUAAAUCUUUAUGUUUUUGGGAAUUUGAAGCUUGUAGGAAGCUUGGUGAGGUCCUAAGGAAGCUCGGAGUGCUUCGUUUGGAAGAAUUGGACGUCGGGAUCACCUAGUUCGAGUUUGGCCGGUUUUCUUGGAUUUUUGGAAGGUACGAUUCCGUGAUUUUUAGUGCUUAAAACUAGUUUAACGUGAUAGUACUCACUUAGGGCUUCAAUUUGGUGUAAAGUACGAGAAAAAUGGACGAAAAACGAGUGAGAAUAGUGAAUUAGAAGUUUUUCCCAGUUUUCCGGUGACCGGAGUCCGGCGAGGGUAGGUCGGAGAAGAAGGGAGAAUAUUCCGUUAGUUUUAACGGAAUAUUCCUAACGGUAGUAACGGUAACCGUCGGUUUUAACGGAAUAUUCCGGGAAUAUUCCUGACGGCGUCAACUGACGCCGUCAGCAUGCCUUGCACGUGGCCGCGCGUGGGGGGCGCGUAGACCCGUGCCUAAUUCGGCGCAUGGGGGCGCGUGAGACCUCGAAAUUAUUUUAAAAAUAUUGUGAUGCUCGUGAGGUUGUGUAGAUCGCGUUAGUGUAUUCAUUUGUCAAAAUUGAGCAUCGUAUGAGGAAUUAAUUACCUAGUUUUGUUUAUGCGCUUUAAUUGACGUUUUUAUAGUUGUUUCGCAUAUAGGUGAGACGUAUCCCGAGGACGAGCGCAUCCAGGGACGCCACGGGGGUUACGACCCGUCGACUUAUCAGUGAGUGGGCAGUUUUGAUUUCGUAUUUACAUAUAUACAUUUAUUUUUCCUAGAAAAUACGUGUUUAUAUGAAAAUAUGAAUUAAUUGCUAUGCAUGAAAUUAUUGAGAUAUCUAGCUUGAGUAUUGAUGCAUAUAUAUGUGAAAUGAUGCAGUGGACGAUCAGGUGAGUUUAUUUAUUUUUCAGCUGAGUUAUUUAUAUUGAAUUGCAUUGAAAGCUCAUAACCUGCACCUAGGUGAUAGUGCUUAUAUUGUUAUUCACCACACCGUACGCUCGUCUUGGAUCCAAGUAGGUGGAUGUCGUACAGACCAUGUGAGGGUUCCGACAUGCCAGUCGUACAGACCAUUAGAGGGGUUCCGACUGGUGGGUGACCUUAGAUAUGCGCGCUGAUGAUUGAUGUGAGAAGCACUAGAGCGUAUUUAUACACCUGUCAUCGUACAGACUACCUUAUGUAGUUCCGAGUGACGUGCAGAGUUAGACCGUACAGGUCACCGAGGUGACUCCGGUUGGAUUGGAUGUUGAGCUUUAGAAUCAGCCGUACAUGACCAUUGUAGGGUCUCCGGUUGAUUUAUUAUUCACCUGACUAUUAUUGAUGCAUUCUGAUUAUAUUUUGACAUGGCAUAUCAUUUCUGAGAUAUUAUAAUGAUGGAUAUGUGCUGAGCUAUGUUGUGGCAUAGAUAUAUAUGUAUAUAUACUAUUUUCUGGGAAAGUAUACAGGUUUUACGGCGAGGGGAUAGAAUUGUUUUUAAUGAACUGUUUUGGAAAAACUAUUUGAUUUUACUGACCCACUCAUUUUGUUUUGCACCCCUCCAGGUUCUAGUUUAGCGGUUGGUGGCUCUCGAGGUCUUAUUCCGGCUUUCUGACAAACUCUCGACAUGUAGGACUCACCUGAGGGUGAUGUAUUUUUAUUUUAGUCCUACUUGACUGCAGUUAACCUAUGCUCUGAACUUAUGUGUUUACUUUAUAACUCGUCCGGUUAUGUUCGUAGGUGGUUAUACUUGAGUUUGGUUUGCAUUUCUGUUGAUUUAUGUUGUUGUUUCGCUUCCGUGUCGCACCUAUGGUUACGUCACGCCCGCGUGACGGCUAGCACACCUGGAUCCUCUGGAUCGGGGUGUGUCACAAAAUAAAGGAAUGAUUUAAGCCAAGUGUUGCAUUGGGUUAUAUCAAAAGAACUGUUUUUCAUUAUGGAAUCAGAACUUUCUUUUAAAGGACAAAGUAUAGGAUAUUUAUAAAGAUACUUGUAGGAUGAGCUAUUAACUCAUCUAAGGCAACAACUUAAUAUCACACUAACUAUAAAUAUAUGUAUAUCAUUCACAUUCGUGUGAGUCAAACAUGGAAACUUCUCCAACCAAGAUUGAGUUCGCUAUCAAUUCUUGUGUGCUUUUAUGAAGUCGAUAGAUAAGAGAGGGGAUAAUAUCUAAGACCAUCUCCAAAGGAGAUGUCAAAUAUGCCAAAUAGGAUUAAAAAACAUUCAAGUGUUCUCCAAUGGAUAUGUCAUAUAUGAUGUGACAUGUGAGUUAUUUGACUCCUUACUUUCUAGUUAACUUUUUUACAACAAACAAAGAAGGAAUCAAAUAUAUUUAAUUUAAUUUUUUAAUACAUGGAUCCCAUUAACAACCAAUAGAAUACAAACUAAAACUAAUUUUGAUUAUUUUUUAAUAGUUAAUGUAACUCUAGGCCCAAUAAAAUAAUAAAAUAAAUAUUUGACACAUCCAUUGGAAAAGAAUAAGAUUUAACAUUUGUAUUCAAUUUACCACAUCAGUCAUCAAAUAAAAUUUUAACAUAUUAUAUUUGAUAUAUCAUUUGAAGAUGCUUUAACUGUUUUAAUAUUAAGUUCUUGUACCUUUAAACAAUUGUCCCCCACCACUAAAGUCAAUAGUCAAUACAAUGCAAAAGUCUCCUUUCUUCGAGGUGUCGAUCAUUGUACAUUUAUAUGUAUUAUAUAUUUGUGUAUAUGUAUUAUACAUGCAUGG
rnacentral:lncRNA from 1 species